UGGGGAAUUUUGGACAAUGGGCGAAAGCCUGAUCCAGCAAUGCCGCGUGUGUGAAGAAGGCCUUCGGGUUGUAAAGCACUUUUGUCCGGAAAGAAAUCCUCUGGGUUAAUACCUCGGGGGGAUGACGGUACCGGAAGAAUAAGCACCGGCUAACUACGUGCCAGCAGCCGCGGUAAUACGUAGGGUGCAAGCGUUAAUCGGAAUUACUGGGCGUAAAGCGUGCGCAGGCGGUUUUGUAAGACGGAUGUGAAAUCCCCGGGCUUAACCUGGGAACUGCAUUCGUGACUGCAAGGCUAGAGUAUGGCAGAGGGGGGUUAGAAUUCCACGUGUAGCAGUGAGAUGCGUAGAGAUGUGGAGGAAUACCGAUGGCGAAGGCAGCCCCCUGGGCCAAUACUGACGCUCAUGCACGAAAGCGUGGGGAGCAAACAGGAUUAGAUACCCUGGUAGUCCACGCCCUAAACGAUGUCAACUAGUUGUUGGGGAUUCAUUUCCUAGUAACGUAGCUAACGCGUGAAGUUGACCGCCUGGGGAGUACGGUCGCAAGAUU
rnacentral:rRNA from 1 species